rnacentral:tRNA from 1 species
ACUCUUUUAGUAUAACCAGUACAAUUGACUUCCAAUCACUAAGAUUCGGACAAAACCGAAAAAGAGUA